ACACGACUCUCGACAAUGGAUAUCUCGGCUCUCGCAUCGAUGAAGAGCGCAGCGAAAUGCGAUACGUGGUGCGAAUUGCAGAAUCCCGCGAACCAUCGAGUCUUUGAACGCAAGUUGCGCCCGAGGCCAAUAGGUCGAGGGCACGUCCGCCUGGGCGUCAAGC
rnacentral:rRNA from 1 species